rnacentral:tRNA from 1 species
UCCCUGGUGGCCUAGUGGUUAAGGGUCCAAUGUUGUCACUGCUGUGGCUCGGGUUCGAUCCCUGGCCAGGGAA